rnacentral:rRNA from 1 species
CCCUUAGACGUUCUGGGCCGCACGCGCGCUACACUGACCAGUGCAACAAGCAUCCGUCCUUGGCCGACAGGCUCGGGCAAUCUUUGAACGCUGGUCGUGAUGGGGAUAGACUUUUGCAAUUUUUGGUCUUCAACGAGGAAUUCCUAGUAAACGCAAGUCAUCAACUUGCAUUGAUUACGUCCCUGCCCUUUGUACACACCGCCCGUCGCCCCUACCGAUUGAAUGGUCCGGUGAAGCCUCCGGAUUGGCGCGCACCUCGGUGCCGCCGAGAAGUUGGCUAAACCUUACCAUUUAGAGGAAGGUGAAGUCGUAACA